GCAAGUCGAGCGGUAAGGCCUUUCGGGGUACACGAGCGGCGAACGGGUGAGUAACACGUGGGUGAUCUGCCCUGCACUCUGGGAUAAGCUUGGGAAACUGGGUCUAAUACCGGAUAUGACCACAGCAUGCAUGUGUUGUGGUGGAAAGAUUUAUCGGUGCAGGAUGGGCCCGCGGCCUAUCAGCUUGUUGGUGGGGUAAUGGCCUACCAAGGCGACGACGGGUAGCCGACCUGAGAGGGUGACCGGCCACACUGGGACUGAGACACGGCCCAGACUCCUACGGGAGGCAGCAGUGGGGAAUAUUGCACAAUGGGCGGAAGCCUGAUGCAGCGACGCCGCGUGAGGGAUGAAGGCCUUCGGGUUGUAAACCUCUUUCAGCAGGGACGAAGCGUGAGUGACGGUACCUGCAGAAGAAGCACCGGCUAACUACGUGCCAGCAGCCGCGGUAAUACGUAGGGUGCGAGCGUUGUCCGGAAUUACUGGGCGUAAAGAGUUCGUA
rnacentral:rRNA from 1 species